AACGAACGCUGGCGGCAGGCUUAACACAUGCAAGUCGAGCGCCCCGCAAGGGGAGCGGCAGACGGGUGAGUAACGCGUGGGAAUCUACCCAACUCUACGGAAUAACUCAGGGAAACUUGUGCUAAUACCGUAUACGCCCUUCGGGGAAGGAUUAUCGGAGUUGGAUGAGCCCGCCGUUGGAUUAGCUAGUUGGUGGGGUA
rnacentral:rRNA from 1 species